CAGUCGCCGCGGUAAUACAGAGGGUGCGAGCGUUAAUCGGAUUUACUGGGCGUAAAGCGUGCGUAGGCGGCUUUUUAAGUCGGAUGUGAAAUCCCCGAGCUUAACUUGGGAAUUGCAUUCGAUACUGGGAAGCUAGAGUAUGGGAGAGGAUGGUAGAAUUCCAGGUGUAGCGGUGAAAUGCGUAGAGAUCUGGAGGAAUACCGAUGGCGAAGGCAGCCAUCUGGCCUAAUACUGACGCUGAGGUACGAAAGCAUGGGGAGCAAACAGGAUUAGAGACCCCAGUAGUCCCUGUCUCUUAUAC
rnacentral:rRNA from 1 species